GGGGAGGGGUUGUAAGGUCCUAUUUUGAGGGCGAGAUCCUUUAAAUCUGAACCAAAAUAUUUACUUUUUUAUUAAAAUGGACUGAUAUUAUUUUUACGUAAAAUACUUGGGUGAUGGAAAGCGAUUAAGAUUCGGGGGAGAAGAAAGCAUCUCACGUAAUAAAUUAUUGGACAAAUAUUAUUUUUUUAAUUAAUUUGAGUGUCUAUAUUGGGGAUGUUGUUACGACGAUAGCAUUUAAAAGAUUUUAGUCAAUGUACCGCUCUGAUAUUGUUGGUUAUAAUAUCCUCAAUAUCAUUCAUUUUCAAAUUAGCGUGUUUCAAAAACACAAAAUUAUUUUUGUAAUACUAUUUUUAAGGUUGAGUGGCGCAUUUGGGAAUUUUUGAUAGUAGUAGUUUUAGUAUAAUAUCGGCGUUUGGAAUCGUUUGGAAUUAACGAAUUAUGUCACUUAGUCAACGCUUGCAUUGUGUUAUGGAUGAGCCGUUUUUGAACUGAAAUUCAAGGACCUUUAAGUUUAAUUUGCUAUAAUCCGGUAAAACAGACAAAUCUGUAUGGUGUAGCGUGUAUUAAGCUUAUGGUUCCUCGUAUAUUAUGGACUUCCGCAAAUUAACGCCUGCUUCUAUACAUUUGAACUGAAAUUGUCAAAUGCGUCAUAUGUGUAUUUAUGUCCUGAAUAGUACAAUUAUUUUGUGAUAACAUUUGUUUUAUUAUAUCUGUAGAUGUAUUUGUUUAACAAUCGGUGGUGUGGUUCGAACAAUGGUUUGUAAUGAAAGUAAAUUAAAAUGGGAUCGACUUUAGCUUAUAAGCUUUUACGAAGUGUCUGUUUUGAUAAAGCUUUCAGUGUGGAUGUUAUAUCGGGGUGUUGCUACUGCAAGGCAGUGUACUGUGGACUGUGGUCCGCUCGGAUAGUCGACUCGCGUCAAAUACGAUAAGUUUCGUAAUGCUGCGCUGAACAAUUUUAUUUAUACACAUUUUUAUAUGAAGUGUCCAGCAAACAACUUGAACACUAACACAGGAAGUUAUAGUCACGGUAGAAGAUUGGGGCUUCUUUAGAGGAUAUUUGAAUCGUCUUGUACAAAAGCCCUUAUCUUGACUAUGAAUUCCAGUAUAAGCGGCGUAAUGGAGGUAAGUUGUCGAAUCCAGGAAGCAAGGGUAAGGGUCCAACUUAUCGACCAAUGGCGUGCCAUUCGCUAGUCUUUUCAAUGAUCAAGUUGUUUGCUGGAAACUGUACCUUAUUCUUUGUUAAAUUAUAGUCCCUUAGUUUUUUAAUCAUAUUUUGAUUAUUUUUUAAUCGAUUUAUUUAGUGAGUUUAAGCUUAUAUUAUUUUUAAGUAAAUCAAUUCGGAAAUCGAUUUGGAAUUUAGAAAUUAUCGAGAAUCUCAACGCUCGACUGUAAAGACUGGGUGUCAAAAUUGAUACAUUUAUGUAAUUAUGUAUAUGAUUGAGAAUUGCUUCUCGGCCAUAUUUUGUUAACUUUUUAGUAUUAAGGUUAACGUCUCUCCUAAACUGGUGCAUAUUCUACUAGAGUUGUCCAAUCAUGAUUGAUCAGUUAGAUAAUAGCAAAAUUCUUUGAAAAAUGCUUGCGACAUAGUUAGACGAUGUACUUGGAACUGAAAUCUUAAUAAAGUUUUUCGGUAGAUUUCCGGUAUUCGUGGGCCCGAAGCGAUUGAAGUGCGCUAUGGACAAAUUAAAUUAUGAAAAGCGUCGUACGUAUAGCGUCGGCCGAACACGGCUGACCUGGAGAGCUCGAAAGCGGCUUCAUACUAUACUUACAUUAGAGAUGGACCAUUUCACAGUUAACAUAUGAAAAAUCAGGCCUUUUCAUAUGUAACACUUGCUACUCUUACUUAAAGUAGCUUGUGAAAAAUCACGAACCAAAAUCGCACUUAGUUUGAAAAUUAUUCCAAAGUGAAAGAAUGAAAAAAUACGAGUAUUGCAAUAAUGCCCACCUCUGAUUUUCAUAGGCGCGGCGCAUCCCUAGCGCACGUCAAUCACUUCAGCCAUGAGCCACGGAAGUGUACCGUUACAGAAUUUGGCACUUGUGUGGGAGAGGUUUUAAAGUUAGUGCGUCGUAGUUUCGUUUCGAGCUGGCUCUCGCGGAGAGGGGAGGGAGGCGAGGGGGGUACAUUCACGCUCUUCGUACUCGCGUACCUCGAAUGUAACCCGUUCCAAAGAGCGUCGCUUUUAUUUAUUCGCUUUAAGUUAUUCGUCCUAGUGGUUUUGUAAAUAUGUUUAGUGGAGUAGUGAUCGGUCGAUGUGCAUUAUCCUUGUGUGGUGUGGCGUGGCGAGGCACGAGGCGCGCAGUGAGGCGCGAGGCGCGUGGUGAGGCGCGAGGCAGGGGCGGCGAGGCCCGCUGCUGCCUCACUGACCUACGUAGUUGUAACGGACAUUUAGUGUUACUGCACAAUUAGUGAUAACGUGUGAAUGGACUCCGUGAGGAAUCGUAUCGGGCUAUGACUUAACUGAUGAUAUUUAAUGGAAUUUAUUAUUAUUGUUGUACAUUUACAAUGUUACCCUCUAAACUCUGUUUCAAUUGACACCGCGAUGAAGGUAAACGAACAACUGUCAAAUACUCAGGUACAUUUGUAGAUACAGAAAUGUCUGUCAAUAUACGGUUAUACUUAAAAGGUUACUAAGCACAUCACAUUAAAAAAUAUUCGUAAGUGUAAAUUAUAAUAAAAACUGGGCAAGUUCGCAUCAGAACAUGCACAAGGUAGUCAUGCUAGUUGCUUUGUUAUUUCAUGGACAGUAUUUUUUCGAAAAACUGUCUUAGAAAUCUAAUAAAUAUUUGAAAAUAUCUAUGCAACAUUCAAAGGGGUAAAACAAAAUUCUACUCACUUUUAUUCUAAUAAUAUAAUAUAAUCUUUAUAUAAAACUUUAAUUAACCCAACGGAAGCAUAAUGUACCCCAUGUUCUUGUUUUCACAUCGUAUUGAUUGAACUAAGCCAAUUGAAAUACGUUAAUGAGGCAGUGCAGUCUAUUGCAGCAAAGCACAUUUUUGUAUAGAAAAGUUUCAGAUUCGAUCUAGUUAUUCAAAAAUAAUUGAUAGUUCUGAAUAAUCUAUUGAAAGUGCUGGUACCAAGACCUUUUUAUAUUUCAAUGUAUAAUUGCAAAGUAGUCAUUUACCAUGUAAGCUUUUUUAUCUAAAAGCAACAUCGCAGAUAAUUUCGCUGAUUCAUUUGAAUAGUUGUUUGUUUACCUUUAAUAAAGUUUCUAUUGAAACGAACCUUACUGUGGUACGUUUUACACAUAUAUUUUUUCGUAUUUUUAAUCGUAAUUAUUAUAAUGCUCCGAGAGGCCGUGGAAAAUUUUUGAGCAAGUGUUUGGUAAAAGCUCUGAUCCCUGCAAGGGCAAAGUGGUUCUGACCUGUUAGUAGGUUUUGAGUUAUAAAUGUUUGAAAUACUUGGUUCAUAUUAGUUAGCCGUGGGAACUAGGUGCGAGAAAGUGGCUGGCAUCGAUUGGAUGCGAAAAUGGAAGAUAGGAAAUGUUGGCGCUGCCUAAAAGAGGCUUAUAUUCAACAGUGGAUGUAAUUUGGCUGUUGAUAGUGACAAAGUAAAAGUAAUAUUCAUUAUGAUUGUACACCAAAACAUAAAAAUGAUAAUAUUUUGUAGUAGCACCUAAAAUAAAAAAAAUGUGGCAGAGCAACAAAUUCCUGAAAAGCUGGUAACUCAUUUUUGGUUUCUCUGGUACUGCAAAUGUUCAUGGGCGGCGGUAAUCACUUAACAUCAGGUGACCCGCUUGCUGGUUUGCUCGCUAUAUGACAUUAAUAAAGCUAGCAGGUCUACAUUCCAUGCUCAAGCAACACAAAAGAACAAGUUUAAAAACUUAAGUUAUUAUUGUAUUUAUCAAUCAGCUCCACAGAACUUCCCAUGGGCUCUCGAAACAUAAUGCGGAUGUCUCAGUAAUAAAUGUACCUAUUGAAAUCGAUUACAGUUUGUUUUGAUGAUAAUACUCUUUUGGAAUUGAAAAUUGUUUUACAAUAAUAAUCUCAAUAUUUUCUUAAUACUUAUUCGUGAUAAUUUAUAAAUUUUACUAGAGAUCUGUAAUUAAUUCGUGAGUAAUGAUUGAUAUAUUGAUAUUACAGUAAAUAUAAGAAUAAAGUAAGGUGAUUUAUAGAUACAUAAUUAAUUGUUUAGAAUAUUUAAGUGAUCAAUAUGAACAAGUUUCAGCUGUGACAUCGUUUCUCAAACUUUAAAUAAAGUCGCGAUUUCAAUAAGUCGCUUAUCACCUUAAUGACCAUAUUCGCGUGGCACGGUUAUGCACAUGCGUUAGGUGUGAGUGGCGUGUUUAUAGAAAAAGGCCAUAAGUGCGACAAGUUUUUAUGCAAUAGUUUCGCGAAAUUGCUACUCGAAUUCUUAGGUAUUAUAUUAUAUUCUUAACAUAUUAUUGUGUUCUUUCCUUAAUGAACUCUAUUUUAGUUCAUAUUAUGAUUUGUAAUACGAAUUUUGCAGCUGUUAACAUUAAAAUAAAUGUGAAUAAAAAUGUUUUACCUAACAAAUAAAAAUUUGGUACCUACCUAUUCGUUCGUCCGGCUCGAAGGACCACUAAAACUACUUCGGAUUGGGACUUAUACUCUCAAUAAUUUAUAUACUUACUGAAAUGGAUAUAGAUCUGAACAAGUGAAUAUUGUUAUAUUAUUGUUAAUUAUUAUUAAUCAAGAUUUCGUUUUGGGGUGAGCGUUUAUAUUUUUAAUUUUACAUGAAAAAUUAGUAAGAAAAGUUUGAGAAUCGAUAAGGUAAGGUCAUAGGCAACUAUGGAUAUUUUUCUAUUUAAAUUGUGUGUUAUUUCUUGGUUAUUAAUUAUGGCUUUAAAUCUGCACUGUAACUGAAUCGAGUUUUUAUUGUUUGUAAGCUCUCGUUCACACAAACGUUUUUCUAAUGCGACAUUUUUUAUCGCAGUGAUGGAUUUCCAACUCUCGGCGUUAAAUCGAAUUUGACUUGGUAUUUAUUCGAUCCUUUUUAAUGCAUUAGAAAAGCGUCCAUGUAAACGAGGACCAACCUUUUUUUGAUUAAUUUUAUAGCUUAAUAAUAAGAGAAUUAAAGUAAGAGUCAGAUUUACACUGUUAUGAGAUUUUUGAUCAUCGGGUUAAUUACACAACGCACUUACAAUCUAAGCAAAAAGACAAAGUUAAUUACAACUUGGAAUUGGACGAUUGCGAUUUGAUAUUUCAUUUUAGUAUCCGCUUGGUUUGUCAAAAUCAAUGCUAUAGUAAUCAGAAGUGCGUUGUGCAAUAAGGUAGGAGUUCCUUGGCGCAUGAAUACAGCAAAGAACUCGCGACGCAACGUCCGAACGCAAACUCAAAGGUUUGGAGCCAAAUAUGGACAUUCAAGUGCGCUAGAUAACGCGUACCAUACAAAUUGAUAGUUAUUUUUGUACCGAUAUCAAGCGUACCGGAAAUAUUAAUUGAUACCUUGAUUAAUAAAUACCUUUGUGUCAAAUGGUCUUCGUGUUGACAGAUCUCAUAACAUUAAAAGCCGAUUCACACCAAUUGUGUUGUUGUGACACGCGCGUAGUGACGCACGUAAACCCCUAACACACCGGGUUACGCAUACGUCCACGCUUUACGCAAGCGGAGUGCCAUGUUUCAUACAGUUCCAUACAUUACAACGCUAUGGUACGCGCUACGUCUACGCUUACGCAGCAUGUGUGAACGAGCUAUAAAUGUAACUAGUUAGCAUCUUUAUAAUUGCCACCCCUCAUUUAGUUCCGAGUACGCUAACAUGUCGCUCACUGCUGCUAUCAGCGCCAAAAUGGCGAUAAUCAAGUUACUUCAAUAACAGGUCGGCAAUUAUUAGCAAGUCUAGCGUCCUUGUAUUAGUACUAGGUGAGUGUUUGGAGCUCGUAAACGCACGUCAUGUCAGGCUGCGUUUAGCGUAAGUAUAUUUUGUGUUCAUAUGCACCAAGGCAAUCUUACAUUUACCGCGACUAUAUCUAUGCGUUAUACAUAUAAAAGACAAAAUAUUUUAAGGAUAAAGUUCAAAUGGAAAAUCAUAUUACGUAUAUAACUUAAUCGUACAAUUUUAUAGUGUUUUUGGUUUUUCAAACUAUUUAAUAAUGAUUACUUGCAUAAUUUGUGUUUUUGUCUCUUUAGCGAGCCUUGUGUUCAAUAUUUCAAUUUGGAGUUGUACUAACCACUCUUCUAUGCCGACUUGAAGCGAAUCACAAAUUAUUGCUUUUAACGUACAAUCAAAUUAAUUUAAUAAUGCCGGUUUUCUGUUUGCAUAUUUUGGAAUAUUAAUAAAUUUUUGUCGCUAAAGCGAAAUGUUAGUAUUUGUUUGAUAUUCUGCAAUUGGACGUUAUCAUGCCGACAUUAUAAAAUUAAAUUUACCUACUUAUUGUGUGGAGUUAUAUUUUAUACUGUUUCGUACACACUGCGGCGUUAAAACACACUGCCAUUUUAACAAUUUUGUUUGUUUGUAACAUAAUGUUUAUUAAUAAACUGUAUGAUAGAAAUAGUGUAACUGUUAGAAAAGAAGAUACAUAUAUAUAAAAGGUAAACAGAAUGUAUAACUUUUCCUGAUAUUUUAAAACUCAAAAUGGCAUAUGAAAACAUUGCAGUUACUGUGAUUUUUGAAAACCAUAGAGUAUGUAUAUCAUGAUGGCAGCUUUUCUUCUAGCGUUAUCAGAAUCGUUUGAAUAGUACGGCUCCAAUAUCAAGGUUCGGCAAAUGCCGAAUAAGCGGAACGAUAUGAUUGACGGCGCGGGCGACAUAGUUCGCGAUAUCACGAAUUAUUUGCUGAAUCUUGAUAGUGGGGUCGAAUCACUAAAAAUUUUUUGUUGUAGCCUACAAAAUUAUCCUAUUAUUUUUAUCAACUUUUAUUCUUUUUGUUAACUUUUCUACCUGCCUACGCUCCGCCCGUGUCCGGCAAUGUGACCGAUUUUUUCAUCCAUCGGCAAAUGCAAUAUUUAAACGCACACAAUCUAUAAAAAGUCGAUGCCCUUCAAUAUUCCAGUCUGUGUCUGUUUAAUUUUUUGCCGACAGACAAAAAAAUCGGUCACCAAUUGUAGGACGUAGGCGGAGCGCCUAACUUUGGAUGACGCAAUGUUAAGCUGCGUAUCGGCUUUAUUCCCGUCGCGCACCAACUUAGUUCAACGCAUCAGCAACUGAUCCGAUGGAAAUGGUGCACGUGAAUCGACGAGAAAUUUGCGCAGACCUAUUUACUAGGUACUGCUAAUAGCCAAUUGCUUAGAGGACAUUAUUGGUGUGCGACCAUAGUGGAUACGCUGCUUUUUUGACAACAACUUUAAAAUUAAGGGUUGUUUACAUUUUGUGCAGCUCCUUUUUAUUGGGAACAGAUUUAAUCAGGGUCCAACGCUUUACGUGAAUUUUGUCAGCAACCUACUGUGUUGUGGAUCAAGUGUGCGGGAUAUUCGAGUUUGCACAAAAUGAUACCGUGAACGAUAAAAUGAUUGUUUCAAAUCCUAAAAAAUCUUCAUUUAAGUAGAACAAUUCGCGCAACGUCAGUAACCCUCUUAUGUACAUUUUAGUAAUAGUAAACCUCGUACGCAUUAGUGUUGAUAAGAUAU